rnacentral:rRNA from 1 species
AGCGAACGCUGGCGGCAGGCUUAACACAUGCAAGUCGAGCGGGCACUUCGGUGUCAGCGGCAGACGGGUGAGUAACACGUGGGAACGUACCCUUCGGUUCGGAAUAACGCUGGGAAACUAGCGCUAAUACCGGAUACGCCCUUUUGGGGAAAGGUUUACUGCCGAAGGAUCGGCCCGCGUCUGAUUAGCUAGUUGGUGGGGUAAUGGCCUACCAAGGCGACGAUCAGUAGCUGGUCUGAGAGGAUGAUCAGCCACACUGGGACUGAGACACGGCCCAGACUCCUACGGGAGGAAGCAGUGGGGAAUAUUGGACAAUGGGCGCAAGCCUGAUCCAGCCAUGCCGCGUGAGUGAUGAAGGCCUUAGGGUUGUAAAGCUCUUUUGUCCGGGACGAUAAUGACGGUACCGGAAGAAUAAGCCCCGGCUAACUUCGUG